CGCCGCUCUACCAGAAAACACCUCUCCUCCCCUUAUCCUUAUCCUUUCCUUCCGUAUGCAUUUCUUCCCCACCACUUGCUCUCAAUCUCUUACGGGCAUGGCUUCCCCAAGCUACUGCGUCGCUUCCACCAAGGCCUCCUGCUCUCCCAUAGCUCCAUGCUGCUGACCUGCUUCAUCAAUUCGAGGGGCUGAUCUGCUACAGUGGCGCUGCCAAUCCACUCAUGCUAGCUUCUUUUGUCUUCUGGAUGCAACGAGGGUUGACUGCGUGAGCUGCCGCUGGUUGUUGCUGGAGGUCAGGUGUCGCGCGGCAGGAGCAGGAGACGCGGAGUUGCGCGUGGCAGGGACGACGCCGCCGCAUGCCGGUUGAAAUUGCGGGCGGCGGGGAGGGUUGAGAUCCACUCUCCCAGGGAUGGAUCCGGCUACCAAAUUUCCCACACGGUUGUAGCUUUUUUAGUCGCCGGUAGUAGCAAUCUGCUUAACGGGUUGCAUCCUUCUAAAUCGCCUGGUUCCAGCUUUUUUUAUUUAAAUCGCUGGUGUUGCAUCUUUUCUUGAAAUCAUCGGUUCCAGCUUCCCAAAUCACCGGUUGUAGGUUUUUGAUCAGCCCAUUGUAGCUUUUUGGAUCCUUAGUACCAGUUUCAAAUCAUCCGUUGUAGCUUUUUCAUCGGCCGAUUGCAACUUUUUUAAUCGCCGGUUCCAGCAUUUUGAAUUGCUGGUUCCAGCUUCUAAUUAGUUUGUUUGCAUUUUUUAAUCGCUG
rnacentral:rRNA from 1 species